CAAAACGUAGCUAAAAUAGUAAAGCAUCUCUCUUACACUGAGAAAUCGCCCGUGCAAAUCGAGUCGUUUUGA
rnacentral:tRNA from 1 species